CAUGGAGGGUGAGAAUCCCGUCCGGUUGAUCAUUGCGUUUUAUGAUACGCUUUCUAAGAGUCAAGUUGUUUGGGAUUGCAGCUUAAAAUGGGAGGUAAAUUUCUCCUAAGGCUAAAUAACGGCGAGAGACCGAUAGCGAACAAGUACCGUGAGGGAAAGAUGAAAAGAACUUUGAAAAGAGAGUUAAACAGUACGUGAAAUUGUUGAAAGGGAAACGACUGAAGCCAGUCGUACCUAUGGGUAAUCAGCCUUUUGGGUGUGAUUUUGUGGAGCGUGAGGAGUUAAACGCCUUCAUGCCUGCAUAUUUGUGCACUUUGGGUGUACUUGCCCGUGUGUAAGUUAACAUCAAUUUUGGUGGUCAUAAAAUGGCUGGAGGAAUGUAGCUUCGAUCUUGUAUUGAAGUGUUAUAGCCUUCGGUAGAUGUGACGAUCGGGAUUGAGGAUUGCAACGGAUACCCUUCGAGGCUACCUAUCUGAUCUCUGAUUGUUGCUCUGGUGCCGAAAGCUUGCUUACGGUUAUCAAAGUCGAUGGUCAAUAGGUUAGAAUGGGUUAAAUUCGUUAAGGAUGUUGACGUAAUGG
rnacentral:rRNA from 1 species